rnacentral:precursor_RNA from 1 species
AAGAGCAGAUGGUAGAGCCCAGAGGAGUGGCUCCAGAGAACACAGGAGGUAUUGGCUUCUGUUUGCAGUUAAUGCACCUUGUGUUCUCAGGUCACCCCUUUGGACCACCCUGUUUCUCUUCUCUUCUCUUCUCUCUUCUUCAACUACUGUCCGUUCUUCUACAGCUACUCCUAUUUUUAAUUCAAAUAUUUGAAACAGCCUACUAACAUCCCUUUUUCUUCUUCUUUCAGGAAAAUCCAUGAAGUCCCCAGAUGUUAUGGUAGUGAGUGGUAGCUAAACCGAGACAUCAUGAUGUGAAAACUGGAUGGUGCAUGUUUUUUAUAAAGACAUGCUCGUUGAUGUUAUUCGGGAACACGUUGAACAAACAAUUAUUUUGUAAAUUGUAAUGUACACAACAAAUAGAGAGAUGCAAUGAUGAGCAGGAAUGUAUGAAAAUUAUGCAAGUAAAUUGGUUGCUCAUUUUGGUAUGCAAAAAAAAAAAAAAAAAAAAAA